rnacentral:rRNA from 1 species
GUGCCAGCAGCCGCGGUAAUACGGAGGGUGCAAGCGUUAAUCGGAAUUACUGGGCGUAAAGCGCGCGUAGGUGGCUUGAUAAGCCGGUUGUGAAAGCCCCGGGCUCAACCUGGGAACGGCAUCCGGAACUGUCACGCUAGAGUGCAGGAGAGGAAGGUAGAAUUCCCGGUGUAGCGGUGAAAUGCGUAGAGAUCGGGAGGAAUACCAGUGGCGAAGGCGGCCUUCUGGACUGACACUGACACUGAGGUGCGAAAGCGUGGGUAGCAAACAGGAUUAGAUACCCUGGUAGUCCACGCCGUAAACGAUGUCGACCAGCCGUUGGGUGCCUAGAGCACUUUGUGGCGAAGUUAACGCGAUAAGUCGACCGCCUGGGGAGUACGGCCGCAAGGUUAAAACUCAAAUGAAUUGACGG